rnacentral:rRNA from 1 species
AUGAAUCUCUUGGCCUGGAACUGUCGAGGACUGGGGUUGGACUCGACAGUGGGCGAACUGAGAGACCUGAUACGGUCCUACAACCCAGCGGUGGUUUUUCUUUGUGAAACAAAAAAGAAUUCUAGGGCGAUGGAAUUGAAAUGGAGUCUCGGAUUUAGAUGUGGCAUGGCUGUCGAUUGUCAAGGAAGAAGUGGAGGGCUUGCAUUGUGGUGGAGGGAUAAUGUG